rnacentral:sRNA from 1 species
CGUGUGCCAUGGACUCAGCCGCCCGGUGAUAUUGACAAUAGGAGAGAGAAAGGGGCAUUGACUGGGACCCACCGCGGGUAGCGAAAGGUGGCUCUGGCAGCGGCGGCUCCAGCUCCUGCGGCUCCUCCUCCUUAUUCUGUCCCCUUCUCUUGCUGCCGCUGCAGAUCCAGUCUUCCUCCCUCCCUUCCCCCCCUCCCCACGUCGUCGCCGCCGCCGCCGGGUCCGGGGCAACGAGCUGAGGCGCCGCCCGCCAGGAAUGUGAGCGAGGAGCCACCGGCGGAGCCGCAACGGGGUCGGUGCCGAUUUGAUGGGACGGGCCCGCGGGGGAGGAUCGUGAGGCCGCCGCCGCCACCGGAACGCUGAGGUUCGGGUCCGGCCGUGAGGCCUAGAGGCUCCGCCGCCGCGGAACCGGAGGGACCCCGUACCGGACAGCCGUCGCCCCAGGCUCCCCGCAGCUGCCCGGACCUCCCCCUGCACGUCCCGGUCCCGCCGCCCGCCCCCGCUGCGGCCACCUCGCCCGUCUCCCGCCCCUCCAAGCCACAGAUCAUCUUCGGAUUCUUCCCCAGAAGCUUCAAGUAGGGAUAUGUCCUCAGCACCAACUACUCCUCCAUCAGUGGAUAAAGUAGACGGAUUUUCUCGGAAGUCCGUCAGAAAAGCCAGACAGAAGAGGUCGCAAAGUUCCUCACAGUUUAGGUCUCAAGGCAAGCCUAUUGAGUUAACACCUCUGCCGCUGCUAAAAGGUAUCUUGCAAUAUAUUCAGAACUCUCCCUCCUAGUGACAGCAAUGAAUUUGAUCCAGAAGAAGAUGAACCUACCCUUGAGGCAUCGUGGCCGCACUUACAGCUUGUAUAUGAAUUUUUCAUACGAUUUUUGGAAAGCCAAGAAUUCCAACCCAGCAUUGCCAAAAAAUAUAUAGAUCAGAAAUUUGUAUUACAGCUUCUGGAGCUAUUUGACAGCGAAGACCCUCGGGAACGGGACUACUUAAAAACAGUCUUACACAGAAUUUAUGGCAAGUUUCUUGGUCUUAGAGCAUUUAUCCGAAAACAGAUUAACAAUAUUUUUCUAAGGUUUGUUUAUGAAACAGAACACUUCAAUGGUGUAGCUGAACUGCUGGAAAUAUUAGGAAGUAUUAUCAAUGGCUUUGCUUUACCUCUUAAGGCAGAACACAAACAGUUUCUGGUGAAAGUAUUGAUCCCUUUACACACUGUCAGGAGCUUAUCACUCUUCCAUGCACAGCUGGCAUAUUGUAUAGUACAGUUUCUGGAGAAAGAUCCUUCACUCACAGAACCAGUUAUUAGGGGGUUAAUGAAAUUUUGGCCUAAAACAUGUAGUCAAAAAGAGGUCAUGUUCCUUGGGGAACUGGAAGAAAUAUUGGAUGUGAUUGAACCUUCACAAUUUGUUAAAAUCCAAGAACCUUUGUUUAAACAAAUCGCCAAGUGUGUAUCUAGCCCCCAUUUUCAGGUGGCAGAAAGAGCACUCUAUUAUUGGAAUAAUGAAUACAUCAUGAGUUUGAUAGAAGAAAACUCUAACGUCAUCCUUCCCAUCAUGUUUUCCAGCCUUUAUAGGAUUUCAAAAGAACAUUGGAAUCCGGCUAUUGUGGCGUUGGUGUACAAUGUGUUGAAGGCAUUUAUGGAAAUGAACAGCACCAUGUUUGACGAGCUGACAGCCACAUACAAGUCAGAUCGUCAGCG